GGAGAGGUAGUUUAACGACUAAGAACGGCGCACCGCGCAAACCCGGGUUUGAAUCCCGGCCUCUCCC
rnacentral:tRNA from 1 species